UACGUAGGUGGCGAGCGUUAUCCGGAAUGAUUGGGCGUAAAGGGUGCGUAGGCGGCCUGCUAAGUCUGGAGUGAAAGGUACCGGCUCAACCGGUACAGGCUCUGGAAACUGGCGGGCUAGAGAGCAGGAGAGGGCGGUGGAACUCCAUGUGUAGUGGUGAAAUGCGUAGAUAUAUGGAGGAACACCGGUGGCGAAAGCGGCUCUCUGGCCUGUAACUGACACUGAGGCUUGAAAGCGUGGGGAGCAAACAGG
rnacentral:rRNA from 1 species